ACAAACUUGGUCAUUUAGAGGAAGUAAAAGUCGUAACAAGGUUUCCGUAGGUGAACCUGCGGAAGGAUCAUUAACGGUUUUCGGGUGCCCUCGUGGCGCCCAAACCCCAACCCUGUGAUUUGACAACCUGUUUCUUUGCCGGCGCCUCUCGAGGCCCGGCAGAAGCCUACUCAAACUCGUUUAUAAUCAUGCCUUCUGAAUUAAAAAUUUAAUGAAUCAAAACUUUCAACAACGGAUCUCUUGGUUCUGGCAUCGAUGAAGAACGCAGC
rnacentral:misc_RNA from 1 species